CACCGCGGUUAUACGGGUGACCCAAAUUGAUAGAUACGGCGUAAAGAGUGGUUUAGGGUAACAACAAAUAAAGCCAAAGAUCCCCCCUGCUGUUGCAAGCAUUCGAGGACAAGAAGCCCCCUCACGAAAGUAGCUUUAUUCUCAUUUUCCUGACCCCACGAAAGCUAAGGAA
rnacentral:rRNA from 1 species